GACGAACGCUGGCGGCGUGCUUAACACAUGCAAGUCGAACGAUGAACCCGGAGCUUGCUCCGGUGGAUUAGUGGCGAACGGGUGAGUAACACGUGAGUAACCUGCCCUUGACUCUGGGAUAACUGCGGGAAACUGUAGCUAAUACCGGAUACGACCCUCGGCGGCAUCGCCAGGGGGUGGAAAGAAUUUCGGUCAAGGAUGGACUCGCGGCCUAUCAGCUAGUUGGUGAGGUAACGGCUCACCAAGGCGACGACGGGUAGCCGGCCUGAGAGGGUGACCGGCCACACUGGGACUGAGACACGGCCCAGACUCCUACGGGAGGCAGCAGUGGGGAAUAUUGCGCAAUGGGCGAAAGCCUGACGCAGCAACGCCGCGUGAGGGAUGACGGCCUUCGGGUUGUAAACCACUUUUGCCAUGUGAGACAUCACAUGGAGAAUAAGCAUCCGCUAACUUCGUGCCAGCCGCCGCGGUAA
rnacentral:rRNA from 1 species